rnacentral:rRNA from 1 species
GCAAGUCGAACGGGUUUAGACCCGUGGCAAACGGGCUAGUAACACGUGGGAAUCUACCCUGAAGUCAUGGAUACGCCGGAGAAAUCCGGUACAAUACAUGAUGUGCUCUACGGAGUAAAGAUUUAUCGCUUCAGGAGGAGCCCGCGUCCUAUCAGCUUGUUGGUGAGGUAAAAGCUCACCAAGGCAAUGACGGGUAGGGGGUGUGAGAGCAUGGCC